CACUUUUCUCUUUCUUUUUCAUUUUUUUCUCUCUGCCUUUAAUUAAUGAUGGGAUGUUCACUUGCUGUAUUGCGCCGUAACGCGUAUCCUCGUGGAGUGUGGAGUGUGGAGUCUGUGUGCUUUAGAGGAUUUCGGAUUAUAUUCUUUUAAAUGUUCUUUAAUUACGUCAAAUAUAUUGAGAACUGCGAAAUUGAAGCUUUAGUACAUUGUGCUUCAUAUUCUUAAGCAGAAUAAAAACUACACACUUUUAAUUAUGAAA
rnacentral:lncRNA from 1 species